UCUCAAGUUUUCUGGUUUUUCUCCAAUCCCUUCAGCAACUAACCUGAUAGACAUCUUGGUAAAGUCUUUCUCGUUCAUAAUCUCGCACAGAUGAGGCUAAGUCCUUGAUUUCACGCAG